rnacentral:lncRNA from 1 species
UCCCUAUACAUAAUAUAUUCAAUAGGUCAGAGAUAUAAUCAUGUUAAUUAGACUUUCUUUUGGGAGAUCAGUCUAAAUUAAUGUCAUUAGGAUGGAAGCUCCACAAGCAGAUUAGAUUAGGUUUGAACAAGGUAGCACAAUAGAGAGGUCUUGGGGUUCUAGUCUUAUUGCCGCCUAUGAAAAAUUGUGUACGUGUUAUGCAUUUGAUGAAAAGCAUGAAUCUUGAAUGGAUUAUCUAAUAAUGGGCAAUAGACAUUUUCCACGUUACUAGAGAUACGAAACAAUAUUUUAUAAAUUAUUCCAUACAUACAAA